UCUCACAAUUUUCUUUCACUUCUCUCUCUAAAGUUCACAAAAUUUCUUCCCCUUCUUUCUCUAAAAACCCCAUCGCCUCCCCUUCUCACUAUUCAUCAUCUUCUCCAAAUCUUUCUAAACAAUAAUGGAUUCUACAUGCAAUUGUGAUAAUGCUUUCUACAUAACAACUAAGUUGGAUUCAGUCAUUAGAAACUCAUCCCUUUCCUCCUCACCUCUUGGCCGAACCAUCCCUCUCUUCUCCUUCAUGUGGAAUUUUGGAAAUACAAGGGGAUUUUUGGGUUGCUGGUGACUUAAAUGGAUGAUUGGAAGCAAGGAAUUAAGGAAUGAAUUAGGGCAGAAGCUUGGGUGUUGGUUGGAAGAAACAAGUUUGGGAAGAAUUGAAGAAAUAAGCGUAAGGUGUUUUUCAAGGGCUUAAAGGUAAGUUAUUUAUUAAGCUUGAAUUUCACAAUGGUGGUAUUACUAUGAAUUAUGUGUUGUUGCUACUGUAUUUUGUAAUGGUGGGUUGAAACUGAUUAUGGUUGAACCAUGACUGAAUUUUAUGGAUAGAUUGUUAGAAAAAGUGUAUUGGACUGGUUAUGAAUUAUGGGUCGAAAAUUUUUCUGUGUAACCCAAAAUGGAGAAAUUAUUGGAUUUUAAGAUUCUACCCUCAAUUCCCUACAGUUUAGAUAUAAAUUUUGUACGAUUUGGAUCAAGAAUGAAUUCUGAAAACACGUUAGAAGUUGGACUGUAGUGCUGAAAAUCUGCAGAAAAAGCUAUACGGGUUUUGGCAUGGAAAUUGCAAAAUAAGCGAUUUUGAAGUUUAAGUUGCUGAAUAAAUGAUCUAAAAGUUGUUCAUAAGUGUUUGGUUGUGUGGGUUGAAGUUUGGAAUGAAUUUGGAACAUGCAGAGGCCAUAAGCUGCAGUUAAGCUGUUUUGAGAAAAGUGCUUAUGGGGCAUAGCAGGAGCUGAAAUGGGACGUAAGCAGCGUCGAGACUUUAAAAAAAAAUGUUUAAGUUUUCCAGAGUUGCAGCAACACAUCAUAUUGCAUAAGAGGGUGGUUCAAGCGACGAUGAUAGAUAGAAGGUUUCUAAUUGCGGGGAGUGGCUUGCUGAACCUUUUUUUAGGUUUCUUUCACAAAUCAAGGUAAUAUUUGUGGGUUUGAUUUUAUAAAAAAUCUUGGUGUGUGUUUAUGAUGGGGAGUAAUAGUAGAGGAAAAGAUGGUGAAGGAACUUCUGGAAUUAACAGGGUUGAUGAUGAUGAUGAUGAUAGCUAUGAAUAUUUACAAGAGAUGAAUUUUGUGCCUUAUGAAACACUUCUUCACAAUAACAUGAAUACCAAUGAUUUUGUAGUUCCCUUUGUCAUGCAACAGGAACCACUUGUGCUACAGUUCUUAUCCGAGCAAUAUUUACGGAAGGAUGCAAAUCAGUAGCAGCUGGAAUGAAUGCAAUGGAUCUGAGGCGAGGUAUAAAUAUGGAUGUUGAUGCUGUUGUGACAAACUUGAAAAGCAGAGCGCGAAUGAUUGACACUUCUGAAGAAAUAGCUCAGGUGGAUUUGACACAGCUCAUGCUGCUGCUAGAGCCUAUGAUCGAGCUGCGAUUAAAUUCAGGGGAGUUGGUGCUGACAUAAAUUUCAAUUUGAAUGAUUAUGAUGAUGAUCUUAAACAGACGAAGAAUUUAUCGAAAGAGGAGUUUGUGCAAACACUUCGUCUACAGAGCAAUGUUUUCUCAAGAGGGAGUUCGAAGUACAGAGGAGGAACACUGCACAAAUGUGGCCGUUGGGAAGCUCGAAUGGGUCAAUUCCUUGGUAAAAAGUAUAUAUAUCUUGGGUUAUUCGACAGUGAAGUAGAAGCUGCAAGGUCCUAAGCACUAAUGAAUUAUUACAUUCUACCUGCACUGAAUUUAUUACACUUGAUUAUCAAGCUCAUUUGCAAUGCAUCCAACAUGUAUCUCCCUUUUGAUUUUCCAAUUGUUCAAAAUGUGCAAUGUUGUGUGUAAGCUUAAACUUGAUGCCAAAACUGCAAUAGCAUUCAAAAAGAAGAUUGAUGACGAGUAUCGGGUGAACAUGAUUCUAGAUAACCUUCCUUUGGUUGUUCCCAUAAAGCGUGUGGAUCAGGAUUCUACUGUUUAUCAGCUUGGUUUCCAUGUUGGACUCAAAGGACAAUAUGAGCAAGGAGGAGAAGUUUUUUAUACACAACCAUUUGGCAUUUACUGUCAAAUAUCAUAGAGAUUCACUCACUGAAUCUGCCAGAAUAGUGGGCUUUGAGAUUAAGCCAUUCAGUGUUAAACAUGAAUAUGAAGGGAAAUGAAAUGAAAAGACUCGCUUAUCAACGUGUGACCCUCAUGCUAAACAUACAGUUGUCAACUCCAAUACUCCUCAGGAAGUUGAAGAGACUUACUCUUCGCCAUUUUGAGUUGAUGGGCCACAAGACAAAAUUCCUGCCAUGAAGUGUAUUCUCAUGAAAAGUCCCUAACUUUAGGUAGUGUUAAGCUGAACUACGCUUUAACAAUAUGUCAUGGCUUCAUUUGGUAGUAGAAAUGCAAAAUUAGAGCUGGUCUGCUCGGUUGUUUUUAUUGUGUCAUUCUUCGGCUGUCAUGCUCAUCUGCACCGGUGUUUUUGCAGUGGUUAGGAUGGUUUAUGUGUCUCGGAAGUUGGAAUUGGAUCAAGUUGCUUGAGUGUUGUCCGAUACACAACAGUUGGUGAAAUACUUAUCUGUAAUCGCGGUGUAGUAUAAUCUACAUAUAUUAGGACUUUUGUUGGUAUCUUGAGAUGUUUAGGGUCUAAUUAUUCAAGUAUAUGGUGUGAUGUUAAUUGGCUUGAAUAAUUCUAGCUAUUGUUGAAUUUAAAUAAUUAAGUGAUGGUCCUUAUUUAGUGCGGUAACAUUUUGGGAUUGGCUUAGUACACUUGGAUUUUAUCUUAGGAAAUCGGUUUCAUUUGUCUUA